AAUUGAAAAAAAUCCUACCAAGUAUUUGUAGUCUAGUUUCUUGUGCAAAUAUCUUAACACAAUGGAAACAAGACUAAACUAACCUAAAAAUAAUGUUUCAGAGAAACAUCGGAGCUUGUUUCACAAGCCAAGGAUUCUUUAAUACUGAUUGCAAAAUGCUAGUUUCACUGGCAGGUGAUUUCACUUUCACCAUGGGGAAAAUGUCUUGUUAUAAGUGAAAUAAUCUGCCGGUGGACCAGUAUGUUUUCAUCAGUUAAGGAAUUUUGACUUAAAUCAAGCUCCUGUAUCUUUCUGCAAAGUUACUUAUGAGUUAGUUUUGUCUUCUUUCUAGAAACGCUAACCAAAUACUUAACACUGUGUUUUUUGCAGUGUAAUAUUGUUGCUUUGCAGAAAGAAGUUCCAGGGUUGAAACCUCAACCUGGGGUCUUUCUUUAUAGAGUUGGCAUGUUCUCUCUUGGUACUCCAGCUUCCUCCCACAGCUCAAAAUCAGAAUCGUUAAUUUUAUUGCUCUCUCUAAUUUCCCCUUCAGUUUCUGUGCGUGUGUGCGCACACACAUGGUUGUUGUUUCAGUCUGCCUGUGUGACGGACUGAUGACCCUCCAUGAUGUAACCCACCUCUCUGCUAGUGAUUGCUGCAGACAGGCACCAAACCCGCUGUGACUCUGCUCAGAUUCAUUCAGAAUCUCAUUGGUGAAUUAUUGGAAUGUUAGGAAAAAACGCCAUCUAGUGGUUGGAAACUUGCAGUGCAGCUAGUGUCUUUGUGUGUUCUCUUUUAAGCUGCCUAUCUUCCAAAAAGUGAAUUUAUUUUAUUCAAUUCAAAAAGUAAAACACUUUCUAUAUAUAUUUAUUACAUACAAAAUUAUUUUCUUAAAGUGCUUCUGAUAAUUUUGAUGAUUUAUGUUCCUUUUGCAAGAUGGAGUUGAUCAACCUGUGGGACCGCUGAGGCGAUCAGGGCCUGCAGUUUAUCUGCACUGUUGGCUCCAGUUUUCAGAAACACUGAUAGGCAAUUAUAAAUACUUGAAAAGUCUCUCUGUUUAACGUAUCUGAGUUUUAAUGAUCUAUACAAUGUCCUGUUGACCUGCUUGCUUGGCUUCCUUAAUAAUAUUUUUCAGUGAUCGACAUAAAGUUGGACAAACCCCAGGAGCCCCAGACCACUGAAAGCGGCUGCUCCUGUUAGUGCUCAUGGUUCCUCCGUGGAUCUCCAUCAUCGACGUCACACGCUUUGUUACUUUGCUUCCCAUUGGUUAACCCCGCUGUUGACUUUGCACGUUGAGAUCCCGGUUUCCUCAUCCGACCGCUGAUCGGUUGGAACUAGCAAUAUGUGAAAUUGGGUCUACUUUAACAAAAAUGCCACACACAGAAAAGUAAAGAAAAAAGUGGUAUGACUUGGUAAAACUUCAUCCCAAAAAAACCCGAAUCUGAGAAUAGAUUUAGUUCUCCCAUGUGGAAAAGUAAAAGGUUUCUUUUUUUUUCCAUAUUUUUGUAUAACAAGGUGGAUUCCUCUGGAAGCUUUUUUCUUUAUCUGCUUUAGGAAAACGAGAACAUGUCUGAGAGCCUGAAGAACAGACCACACCGUAUUGUGUGCCACGACGAUUGUGGGCAAUCGCAAAACAAAUAACGUUUUCAGCUUUAUCAUUGACUAUUCUUCAGUAUCUCAAAGCUAAUUACAGAACAGCCAAUCACAGCCUUCCUGCCUGUAGCCCUACUGUUAUCCUCACAUUUGUAUUUCAGACAUUACGGAUCAAUUCGAGCUGUAAAGUCCAGAGUAUGUAAUGCAUGCCUAGUUGUAAAGCAUAGGUACUGUCUACCUGUGUACACGAGUUUGAAAAAUGUAAUAUUCCACCAGUGACUUGAUUGCACAGCGUUCUAAGAGCUGGGUUUCUAUACUUGACUUCUGACGACCUUUUGAUUUCAUUUUUAUUUUCUAUUUUUUGCCGUGUGUGUGAAUUUGUGCUUUCUGUAUGGACGGCAUUAGAACGCAGUUCCACUGAGGGCCACUGUCACGUCACUUCACUCCCGCCACAUUCCGGCUCUCUUUAAGGACACCUUCGGUCUGUACGUCACGGACUGUGUCCGUCCAGCUGCUGUGGGAGAAUUAUGUGUUUAAUGAUGAUCUGUGUAUGCAGAUCGCUGUAAACGAGCAGCGAAGAGUCCAGCCCUCUGCCGUGUGCCCUUUGAGCAGACGGAUCAACUACACCCUUAAAACGUUCUUCUUCUGUUUCCUCACCGACUAAAGACUAAUUUGCACAUGUAGACCUUUCAGGUUAUUAUGAAGUUGGGAGACGUUUCAUUCUAAUUGUACAGUCGCUUAAUUCAAAGAUGUGUCUGAUUGUUAAAGAAACUGUCGCAUAACGUAUUUCCACGUUUGUUUGUUUUUUCCUGCUUGUUUUUAAACUGAAUGAAAAUGUUGACAUUAUGGACUAUUUCUUUCCGCCUUCGGGCCAGUUAUCAUAACGUUCUGGUGGUGAAGUCAGCCAGUGCUAAGAACACUACUUUGAUUUGAUGUGUCUUUGAUGUGAAGUCUUUACAGCACUUUUGCAGAAUGUGUUUUAGAUAUAGAGUGAAAAUGUAAACCGUUAAAAGGAAAUGUUCAUUGUUAAUUUCCAUACAAUUUGGAGUAGUGUGUCCUAGAGUAGAAGCGUUGGUUUUGAAUUGUUUUCACACACCUAUAUAUGGAGCACACUUCUAAAACAAACUCUAACCAACAUAAUGAGCCAAAUGGUAAAACAGCUGGUUAAAAUAUCGCAGGAAACUUUCACCAGAAUACAAACACACCAAAAUAAAGUGCCAUUGAACUUCCCUCAACAUGCUCAGAGGGAGCU